rnacentral:rRNA from 1 species
CCUACGGGAGGCAGCAGUGAGGAAUAUUGGUCAAUGGACGAGAGUCUGAACCAGCCAAGUAGCGUGAAGGAUGACUGCCCUAUGGGUUGUAAACUUCUUUUAUAUGGGAAUAAAACGUUCCACGUGUGGGAUUUUGUAUGUACCAUAUGAAUAAGGAUCGGCUAACUCCGUGCCAGCCGCCGCGGUAAUACGGAGGAUCCGAGCGUUAUCCGGAUUUAUUGGGUUUAAAGGGAGCGUAGGUGGAUUGUUAAGUCAGUUGUGAAAGGUUGCGGCUCAACCGUAAAAUUGCAGUUGAAACUGGCAGUCUUGAGUACAGUAGAGGUGGGCGGAAUUCGUGGUGUAGCGGUGAAAUGCUUAGAUAUCACGAAGAACUCCGAUUGCGAAGGCAGCUCACUGGACUGCAACUGACACUGAGGCUCGAAAGUGUGGGUAUCAAACAGGAUUAGAUACCCGUGUAGUC